UCGAACAACAUUUAAUCUGGAAAUUCCCUGAAAGCGAUAAUAAGGAUUACUGUCACGGUGGGGGCUUGCAGCACUGGAUACAAGUGUGGAGGAAGGCAGCCUCUGUCACGGUGGGCACCGGUGUGGCGGACAGUGGACUCAGUCACGAUGCAGAGUAUCCAUUAAUGCAGCCAGCCAUUGUCUGAGUGACGGAGUUUCCUCCUUUUUCCAGAACAUCGGAAUCGGAUGGCAGAGGGGAAGAAGCUGUUCCUGAAUCACCAAGCGUGUGCCUUCAGGCUUCUGUACCUCAUUCCUGAUGGUAACAAUGAGAAGAGGCCAUGUCCUGGGUGAUGGGGUCCUUGAUAAUU